AGAGUUUGAUCCUGGCUCAGGACGAACGCUGGCGGCGCGCUUAACACAUGCAAGUCGAGCGAGAAAGCUCCUUCGGGAGUGAGUACAGCGGCGAACGGGUGAGUAACACGUGGGCAACCUGCCCCAGGGAGCGGGACAACUCGGGGAAACCCGGGCUAAUACCGCAUAAUUCGCGAGGCCAUAAGGUCGCGCGGGAAAAGGUAGCUUCGGCCUCCGCCUUGGGAUGGGCCCGCGGCGCAUUAGCUUGUUGGUGGGGUAACGGCUCACCAAGGCGACGAUGCGUAGCUGGUCUGAGAGGACGAUCAGCCACACUGGGACUGAGACACGGCCCAGACUCCUACGGGAGGCAGCAGUGGGGAAUCUUGCGCAAUGGGCGAAAGCCUGACGCAGCGACGCCGCGUGGGGGAAGAAGGCCUUCGGGUUGUAAACCUCUUUCAGCGGGGACGAAGCCGACGCGGUUAAUAGCCGUGAGCGGUGACGGUACUCGCAGAAGAAGCCCCGGCUAACUACGUGCCAGCAGCCGCGGUAAUACGUAGGGGGC
rnacentral:rRNA from 1 species